UGCUCUUGUGGCCUAGUGGUUAGAGUGACCGCCUCAGAUGUGGGAAGUUGUGGGUUUGAUCCCCGGUUGAGUCAU